GUUCAGCAGGUCAGACUCUAAACACAUGCCGGACUGGUCUAGUUGUGGGAAAGGGAAUCUCUGGGUCGCGGCCCAGCCCUAGAGUGACCGGGACCCCAUCCCCCCGCCGCCAGGAAGGGCCCCGAGGAAGGCACCUUGCCGGCGAGAACCAGAACCACUAGGGCCCAGGGGAGGCGCCAGGACUGCGGCGGUUCCGAGAAGGAUGCUCCGCGCACGCCUAGCUCGUCCCUAGCCACGGAAGAGCCCGAAGGACCUGGGCGGGCCGAGGACGGCGGGCGCCAAUGGCCGGGCCCGCUCCGCCCCCGGCCGGAGGCUGCCCGGGAUAGGCUGCCCGUCGCACCGCCUCCUUGUCAGCGCGCCGCCGUCCGGGUCUCUGCGCCGCACGCGCGUCGCCCGCCGGAGUCGCGCUGAGGUGAGCCGUGGGUGUGGGUGGGGUGCGGCGGGGAGGGCGCCCGGCCUGCGGGCCCGGCUGGGGGCUGCGCUCGCCCCGCGUCCCCUCGAGCUUUGCCCGCCCCGAGCUCCGCUGCUCCCGGCGGCCAGAACGGAGGGGUAGAGCAGUCCCUCCGAGGCCCGGGGGGGCGGGCGGCGCAGCUCGUCCCGGGGGCCGCGCGAGGCACAGACGCCGCGCCGGGCCGCCCGGAGGCCUCCCCGCGCCCAGGCCCGGGCGCCCUGAUAACCUCGCGCUUUGCUCCCGCAGGGCGCCGCCGCGGCUACUUUGUGGCGGGUUCGGGGGGGUUCGGGGCCCGCCCGCCUGCGGCUGCGGGAGCCCGGCCCGACCCGGGGACCCGGGAGUCUGUCGCCGACGUGUGCGGGGCUGCAGCGGCCCGAGCUCUACGCGCAGGUUGAAUACUACAGGUGCAAGCCGCUGAAGCUGGAAUAUUCUGAUGCUGGUAUUUUUACUGACUUAUACCAAUUCUACAGUUUACAGUACACACUAAGGAGGUCAAAUAGUCUUCCAUAACUUGUAGCAGCCAUGUGUCCAGCGUGCCCCUCACAGGCCUUAGCAGCAGGACAGUGCUGGUGGUGAUCGGGCAGCAUAGCAGGUGUUUUACCUUCAUCUUGUCUUUCAGUUCUGACAACUCUGAGGUCGGUACUAUCCCUUGUUUUACAGAUGAAGCAACAAAGAGGUUAGGUACUGGCUCAAGGUCCCGCCACAUGUGUAGCCUGAACAAGGAUCCUUGUGUAACUUUCUGGCCAUGUGACCUCUUGGAAAGUCACUUCUCUUGGCAUUUAAUGUUCAAGUGGAGCUGUAGUAAUAUUGAGACAGAUGAGGCCAAUUUGGUCAGGGGAGACCACAGCAGAGCUAUUAGAAUAUAAGGUCUUUAUAGUAUUUAAUUACAUCAAACCUAUGGAAGUUACCAAAAUUUGGCACAAAGGGGGCAUCUGUCAGCAUUUUAGGUGUUUUUGAUGAAUGAGCAUAAUGAGCUGUGAUGGGAUUUGAAGCAUUACAGGGGUGAUAGAUUGUUAGAAUAUGAAAAUCUUCGAGGUGAUGGGGGAAGUUUUCAUACGGGAAGAAAUGAGGACAGUGAAGCAAGAUGAACAGAGCCUAGUAUGUGCUAGUUCAUGCUGACCAGCCCUGAAUGUCUGCAAAUACCUCAUUUUCCAGAAGUUUUCAAUAAAGACUUAAUAUUCACCUUGCAGUCACUCUUCAUGCUUAUUUCAUAAACAUUGUUCCAGUCUUUCUAAACUUCAUUUUACACUUGUAUAUUACACUGCCUUGUCACUUUUUUUUAGGUGAUUUUUUCAGCAAAUACGUGAGAAGGCCAUAAUUGCUAGAGGGGAGAAAAGGGAAGGGAAAGAGGAAGCUCAUGUAUAUGCGCUGAGAGUAGAGUAUUGAGCCCAGAGAGGGCUGGCCAGGGAGGACCAGGGACGCUAUGGGUCUGUAUGCAUUUGGGUGAAGAACGUUUCAGGCAGAGUGAAGGCAAAUAGCCUGAGGGAGAAGUGUAUAAAGGUUUGGGGGAAAGCACAGUGAAGCUGCAGAGAAAUGACCUGAAGGGGACUAGGACCGCUUGUAUACGGGGCCAAGGUGGAUAUUUUAACACUAUUGUAAAAUGGUAACUUUCUGGCCUCCCAGGUCCUCUGAAAGCUGUAACUUUUACCUAGGAACGCUCCCUAGCACCCAUACUCUUUCCUGCUCUUACCCAACUUUUCUGUGGCCACUAUCAUCCCUCCCCUGACCCCCCCCCCCCCCCCCAUUAAGUGCUCUUGUUCUGGAAUUCUCUAGCAUCGUAUAACAGCCUUGUCAUAUUUAGAAGUCUAGUUUGUGGUUGCCCUGCCCCAGCUUUACUACAGUAAAGUCCACCUUGGUUCCCACCAUAUUCCUAAGGGCUAAUCAAACUGGUGUAAUACUGAUUCUGAUAUAUUUGAGCCCUAAACCCAUCAUGUGUAUACUACAAGGAGCAGUAUCAUUUAUAAUUAAACCUCAUAAUAAUAUUGGGUUGAAUUAUAUAUGGCAUUCAAGUGAAUGGCUUACAGCCAUCUAUUAGAAGCAGCAGAACACUAAAGCUAGGUUCAAGCCUCACCCUUCCAUGUGAUCUUAGACCAGUUACUUAGCUUCUGCCUAACCAUCAUAGUUACUAAAGUUGAUCUAUACAUAGUAAUUACCUGGUGAGUAGUAAGCACUCGGUAAAUGUCAUUCAUUGGUAGUACUAUAGGAUCAUUUUUAUAAUAUUGUAUGGUCCUUGUAAUAAAAUGACAAUGCUGGUGUUUAUAUACUAAAAU
ensembl:lncRNA